GUGCCAGCCGCCGCGGUAAUACGAAGGGUGCGAGCGUUGUUCGGAAUUAUUGGGCGUAAAGCGCACGUAGGCGGCCUUGUAAGUCUCACUGUGAAAGUCCGGGGCUCAACCCCGGGAUGCCAGGGGAUACUGCGAGGCUUGAGACAAGUAGAGGUUGGUAGAAUUCCGGGUGUAGCGGUGGAAUGCGUAGAGAUCCGGAGGAAUACCAGAGGCGAAGGCGGCCAACUGGGCUUGUUCUGACGCUGAGGUGCGAAAGCGUGGGGAGCGAACAGGAUUAGAAACCCUCGUAGUCC
rnacentral:rRNA from 1 species